ACAACCCAGCUCUGCUUUGGAUCUGAUCAGACGGACUAAAUCUUGGGGACUCUGCACCACUGUCCACUGAGGAAAGGGAAUGAGAAUGUUGCCUGGGGCAGGAAAAUAUAGUAAGAAACACUGGUGUGAAUCUAGCAUCAGAAAGAUUAUGUGAAGACAGCAAGGAAGAGGUGGAACCUGAAGUUUAAUCACAGGCUCCUCACCAUCUGCUGAUGGGCAGGUGUGUGAGCUCCAGCAUGGAGCACCACAGCACUGGAUCAGAGAAGGGUAAGAGGGCGAUGGGGCAGCCUGCGAGCUGGGGCAGUGUAGGCAGAGGAGUAACUGUAUCACCACAGAAGCUUCUGCCUUCACCCAUCCCUCCAGCUCUGCAGGACAGGUAGAGUCCAGGGUCCAUGGAGCAUAAGACCUAAGGAAGGCUGCAUGGGGAGGACACAGGACAGUGACAUCACAGAAUAUGCCUCCCAUCAGGAAAAUCAAGGCCCAGAACUCACUGGGCUCUUCCCCAGGAGGACCAAGCCCUGAAUCAGGUGCAGUGCUGCCUGCCCCACUGGGACAUGGGCACCAGGCUCCUUUGCUGGGUGCUGCUUUGUCUCCUGGGAGCAGGCUCAGUGGACACUGGAGUCACCCAAAGUCCCCCACACCUGAUGAAAACGAGAGGACAGCAAGUGACUCUGAGCUGCUCUCCUAUCUCUGUGCAUAGCAGUGUGUCCUGGUACCAACAGGCCCUGGAUCUGGGGCCCCAGUUUAUCUUUCAGUAUUAUGAGGAGGAAGAGGGAGAGAGAGGCAACUUCCCUGAUCGAUUCUCAGGUCGCCAGUUCCCUAACUAUAGCUCUGAGCUGAAUGUGAACGCCUCAUUGCUGGAGGACUCGGCCCUGUAUCUUUGUGCCAGCAGCUUGCACAGCCCAGCAGAAUCAUUGACAUUCUGUAUAUAAACUUCCUGCCUUAGCUUUGCCUUGAGAGCUGCAGGCCCCACCCAGGUUUCACUCCUGCAAGGGAAGCUUUUAGUUGUAUGGAAGGCAUGUCUUGUGUCCUACUGAGCGCAGAGUCUCCCAAAAAACAGAGCCCAGGUUUCCUGUGCCCUGAGUGUGCCCGCUUCUGUGCUGCAUCUUCUUGCAGCUUGUCACUUCCUGGGUAACUUCAGUAGAAGAGUAACUGCUGAGCCCAAGAUGUGUGCUAGAUUUUUGUGUAUGUUACUUAUCUUAAAGGUUUUCCACAAUCUUGCAAAUCAAUCAUUCUUAUUCUUCCUUUACAGAUGGGAGGCUCAGUGACAUUGAGUCAUUUUCCCCAAUGUCUCUUGGCUUGUAAGGAUCAGAAGUAGGAAACAAACUAGUCGAUCCAUUUUCCACCUACCCCCCUGCUCCAUCAUCACCUUCUGCGUCCUGGUCAGUAGGUCAGAGCCCUCACACUGCCCUCUAGUGACCAGCAGGGCCGCAGUAGAGGC